GUGUGUGUGUGUGUGUGUGUGUGUGUGUGUGUGUGUGUGUGUGUGUGUGUGUGUGUGUGAGAGAGAGAAUGUGAGUGUGGGGAUUUGGGGCCUAUCUUGAAUUACCUUGCGCCGUAAUUUAG